AUGGUGCACAGGCUUACACACGACGAAGGUGACGAGGCUGCCGCCACCACGGAGGGGAGGAAGAGGGAGACGACGGCGACAAGGAGGAGGAGGAGGCAAGGUGGCGGAGACGCCAUCGCGGCGAUCAAGAGGAGGAUGCUGCGGUGCAGCGAGGCCGGAGAACGGGUGAGGUUCAAGCGGAGCUACUUGGCAGGCGCGGGCGGCGGCGAGCAGGGCGACGGCGCCUCCGCCGUCUUCUUCUACCUGGCCUGCAUCGCCUGUGCGCCGGCUUAA
rnacentral:rRNA from 1 species